rnacentral:rRNA from 1 species
GACAGAGGAUGCAAGCGUUAUCCGGAAUUAUUGGGCGUAAAGAGCUCGUAGGCGGUUUGUCGCGUCUGCUGUGAAAACUCGGGGCUCAACCCCGAGCCUGCAGUCGAUACGGGCAAACUAGAGUGCUGUAGGGGAGACUGGAAUUCCUGGUGUAGCGGUGAAAUGCGCAGAUAUCAGGGGGAACACCGGUGGCGAAGGCGGUUCUCUGGGCAUGUCCUGACGCUGAGGAGCGAAAGUGUGGGGAGCGAACAGG